GCCCAACCCUCAAGCCUGUCCAGGUCCCUCUGAAUGGCAGCACAGCCCUCAGAGGUAUCAGCCACUCCUCCCAGCUUUGUGUCAUCAGCAAACUUGCUGAGGGUGCACUCUAUUCCAUCAUCCAGGUCACUGAUGAAUAGGUUGAACAGGACUGGAUCCUGGGGGACACUGCUAGCUACAGGCCUCCAACUAGACUCAGUGCCGCUGAGCACAACCCUAAAUAUCGUAAAUAUCAUAAAGUAUUAUUAAAUAUCAUGAAGAUAUUUAAUGACACUCAUAGUCUCAGUUUUUGCCCAUCUAUGAAUAUAAGCAAAAAUUGUUGAUGUUAAUUUUGAUAUUGAGGAAAUAUUUAAAAGCCAGUCUAAAAUCUAUAAUUUUUUGACAUACUCUGUGGUGCAUUUGGUACAUUAUAGGUCAAGCAUCCGUAUUUUCUCACUACCAUCACUGCAAUAGUAUACAUUUUAAAUCCAUGCUACACUCGGCACUAAGUGAUGGUGCAUUGUGACAACUAUUUAUCCCUCUGACCAAUGCUGCCUUUUUGUUGCCUUCUGUUCUCUCAUUGGCAUGUCAUCUCCACCUGUUGCCUGCUUUUAUGUGCUCAGGACUUGUCCGCGGGAGUGUUCCUGCACCGUACUAAGUGGAUUCAGCAGGUGUUGGCAUUAUGCACUCGAUGUAAAUCUGCCUUUAACAGUAGACAAAGCAACAAGAGAGGACACUUCCUCACUACAUGUUUGCACAAUGAGGACAACAGUGAGAGGGUGAGGAAAGAACUGCUUUAUAACUAGAAUCCUUCAUCUCACUUAAAAGUGAAGAUAUAUUUUCUACAGAUAAUUUACAAAGGACAAAGUUUACUGAUGUGUUAAGAGACUGGACAGGUCCUACACUGCUGGCCAUAUCUUACCCUGCAGAAGUACUGGAUAUUGUUAUAUACUGCAACGUAAAACUUUAUUUUAACUUCUUCAUCACUUGAGCAGCAUAUGUAUGUGUAUCUGUCUAGAUAGAUAGCAGACAGACCAAUGAACAUAUUAACGACAUUUCAUCAGGUGUCACAGUGUGUUGAAAUAAAAUUUAUCUCCUGCAGGUCA
rnacentral:lncRNA from 1 species